ensembl:lncRNA
GGGUUAGGGUAUCACCAGAGGAGAGCUGAGAGGGCUCUCUUACAACCCAGGGGUGCUGCGCUUCAUGAUGUGUAUUGGCUUCAUCCUCCGGCUGCAGGAAUUACAGAGGUCACCUUCAAAGAGUACCUUAUCCAGAGGAAAACAGACACUGUCUCCUUAGGUCUCUCAUUCGGAGAAAGGAAACCUUUCCCACAGGCCUUCCCAACAGACUUCCCCUCAUGCAUCAGCCAGAAUUAGGUCACUUACCCAUGCUUAAACCAGACACAGCAGAAGGCAAGAAUUCUCACGACUGACAUCAUCUAGAGUGGAAUAAUUUCGAGGACUCAACUAAGUGGCCACCACAAGCAGAAAAGGAAGGAACUCACAUGUUCUUUCUGAGACCCUGGGUGUUUCUCAACCAUCCUCUCUUUCAUUCUCUCAUCCACGCUCAUCCAGGUGUGUGCUAUUACCCUCUCCGUACUGAGAAGAAAUCAGAGGCUCUGCCCAGGGCCCCAUAUACGUACUGUGCUCCAAAGCCCCUGCUGUUUUUAUUACUGGGCACUGCAGACUUGGAGUGCAGUGGAAAGACAGAAGCUGUGCCCAGAGAGAGGAUUUGCAGUGUUAAAUAUCUUGUGGCAACAUUUCUUUUGAAGUGUUACACGCUUGGUUGGCUUCAAUGAAGACCUCUAGGACUGAGGACCGUGAGAGCAACAGUUGAAGGCAUCAAAAAAAAAAAAAAAAAAAAAAAAGAGAGAGAGAGAGUCCUCAAACAGAACCAUAAGAAUGAGCACUGGGAAGAAAAAAUGAGAAAGACAUGCAUCCUGCCCCAGAAAGAGAGACCAACACAGCAGGAGCCAUGGCUGCUGGAAGACCAGCAGAAGCCUCUCUCCUUUCUCCCUCACCUCCUUUCCACUUCCUCUGAAAACCAACCCAGUCCUCAGAAGACUGUAUCUGUUUAUGUUUUCCAAAGCUGGCACUCCCAGCUCUCUUCCCCC